UCCCAUAAGUCUACACGUUCUCUCUCUCUCCCACUUGUCUUCUCUUUUGUAAUUUCUCUCUUCUUGUUCUCACUGUCCUCCAUGGCUGAUCCAUUGAAGGCCCUAUAUCCUUACCACCAAUUCAAUAGCUUGAAUCCAACAAGCAUGAUCUUCCAUGAGUUUUGGCUGCCCCAAACAAUGAUUUUAAGGUUUCGAGAUUCUUGGUGAUGGACCUAAUUGGAUUGCUUGCUUAGGUGGUGGUGCCCGGUUGAGGUAAAAUUGGUUGGCCCCCUGAGGUAAGUAACUUUUAAUGGGAUUUUUUGAAAAUGACCACAUUGCAUAAACUUUGUUUUUGGGCAAACACAUUUUGGAAAAUUAUUUGUGGAACUAUAUUUUCUUAAUAGGUAUUGUGUUGUGGCCCUAUUAUAUAUGAUUGUAUAUGAAAAGAGCAUCAUGUUUAAUAUUGAAUAUGGGGAAAUGCAUGAUUUGUUAGUAUGGAAGAGAUAAACAUCUUUGAUAUAAUUCUUGGGAAUGGAUUUGAUGCAUUGUUUGCAAAUUCUAAAGAUGUUUUAUCUUGACUUGUGAUAUUUUAGAAAUGGAUAGAAAAUGUUAUUGACAAGAAAUGAUUUUGAAAAAUUUGGGAACCUUGUGAAUAUAUUGGGUAUUUCAAAGGUUUUUGUGUAACUACUUGAAAUUGGACUGUGUUUUGAAUUCAUGUAAUCUGUGAGCUCUUUAUGUUUUACCCUUAUGCUGUUAUGUGUGAUUACCCGGUGAUCACCUAGCUAGAUACUAUAGUCUAUGUGACAUUGGUAUCUUAGCACCUGUCUUUGUGACGGCAUAUGAGUUCCGUCUUUGUGACGGCGUUGAGUUUCGUCUUUGUGAUGGUAGAUUAGUUCCGACUGUGUAUCGGCAAUGAGUUUUGGUUGUGUGUCGGUGAUGAGUUUCGUCUUUGUGAUGGCAGAUUAAUUCCGGCUAUGUGUUGGCAAUAAGUUCUGUUUUUGUGACGGCAGAUGAGUUCCGUCUUUGUGACGACGCUGUCACAUGGCCUUGGGUUGGAUUUUCAGGUUUUAAAACGAUGUUUUCAUAGCUCACAGUAAAUAGUAUGUAGUUUCAUGUUGAAAUAUUUUGAGAAAUCUUGGUGCUAUAUUCUUUUAAUCAUUCUUGUCAUUUUAUUAAGAAAAAUAGUCUUUAAUAAUCCAAAUGGAAAUUCCCAAAGUAUAACAUGUUUUGUAAGAUGCCCAUUAGCUUAUCCCACUCUCCAACAGUUUUUCAGAUAACUUUGCUAUACCUUGGGCAUAGAGCUUGUUUUAUUGGUGGUAAUUGGAGCAUCAUGCUAAUUGAGAGAUUUAUGCUAUGAUUGGUUGGUGACUCAACUUCCUAAAUUUAUUGAGGCCAUAGCUAAUUCUAUAGGAGGUUGGGCCCUUGAGGUUUGUUAGCCUUGGGCAUAGUAGGCAUAGAUUCUAUUGUCGUGGUUGCCUUUCCUUGGAAGGAUUGUGAUAUGAUGUUGAUCCAUUUGGAAUUUUGGAAUUUUGUAUAUAUUUGGAGACGUUAUUUGUAAUUCAUAUUAUUUGUAAAUGUGUUAUAGAGUUUUGACUUGUAA